rnacentral:ncRNA from 1 species
AUUUAUAAGAAUAUGAUGUUGGUUCAGAUUAAGCGCUAAAUAAGGACAUGACACAUGCGAAUCAUACGUUUAUUAUUGAUAAGAUAAUAAAUAUGUGGUGUAAACGUGAGUAAUUUUAUUAGGAAUUAAUGAACUAUAGAAUAAGCUAAAUACUUAAUAUAUUAUUAAAAAAAAAUAAUUUAUAUAAUAAAAAGGAUAUAUAUAUAAUAUAUAUUUAUCUAUAGUCAAGCCAAUAAUGGUUUAGGUAGUAGGUUUAUUAAGAGUUAAACCUAGCCAACGAUCCAUAAUCGAUAAUGAAAGUUAGAACGAUCACGUUGACUCUGAAAUAUAGUCAAUAUCUAUAAGAUACAGCAGUGAGGAAUAUUGGACAAUGAUCGAAAGAUUGAUCCAGUUACUUAUUAGGAUGAUAUAUAAAAAUAUUUUAUUUUAUUUAGUUCCGGGGCCCGGCCACGGGAGCCGGAACCCCGAAAGGAGAAAUAUUAAAUAUUUAUAAUAAUAAUAAUAAUAUAUAUAUAUAAAUUGAUUAAAAAUAAAAUCCAUAAAUAAUUAAAAUAAUGAUAUUAAUUACCAUAUAUAUUUUUAUAUGGAUAUAUAUAUUAAUAAUAAAAUUAAUUUAUUAUUAUUAAUAAUAUAUUUUAAUAGUCCUGACUAAUAUUUGUGCCAGCAGUCGCGGUAACACAAAGAGGGCGAGCGUUAAUCAUAAUGGUUUAAAGGAUCCGUAGAAUGAAUUAUAUAUUAUAAUUUAGAGUUAAUAAAAUAUAAUUAAAGAAUUAUAAUAGUAAAGAUGAAAUAAUAAUAAUAAUUAUAAGACUAAUAUAUGUGAAAAUAUUAAUUAAAUAUUAACUGACAUUGAGGGAUUAAAACUAGAGUAGCGAAACGGAUUCGAUACCCGUGUAGUUCUAGUAGUAAACUAUGAAUACAAUUAUUUAUAAUAUAUAUUAUAUAUAAAUAAUAAAUGAAAAUGAAAGUAUUCCACCUGAAGAGUACGUUAGCAAUAAUGAAACUCAAAACAAUAGACGGUUACAGACUUAAGCAGUGGAGCAUGUUAUUUAAUUCGAUAAUCCACGACUAACCUUACCAUAUUUUGAAUAUUAUAAUAAUUAUUAUAAUUAUUAUAUUACAGGCGUUACAUUGUUGUCUUUAGUUCGUGCUGCAAAGUUUUAGAUUAAGUUCAUAAACGAACAAAACUCCAUAUAUAUAAUUUUAAUUAUAUAUAAUUUUAUAUUAUUUAUUAAUAUAAAGAAAGGAAUUAAGACAAAUCAUAAUGAUCCUUAUAAUAUGGGUAAUAGACGUGCUAUAAUAAAAUGAUAAUAAAAUUAUAUAAAAUAUAUUUAAUUAUAUUUAAUUAAUAAUAUAAAACAUUUUAAUUUUUAAUAUAUUUUUUUAUUAUAUAUUAAUAUGAAUUAUAAUCUGAAAUUCGAUUAUAUGAAAAAAGAAUUGCUAGUAAUACGUAAAUUAGUAUGUUACGGUGAAUAUUCUAACUGUUUCGCACUAAUCACUCAUCACGCGUUGAAACAUAUUAUUAUCUUAUUAUUUAUAUAAUAUUUUUUAAUAAAUAUUAAUAAUUAUUAAUUUAUAUUUAUUUAUAUCAGAAAUAAUAUGAAUUAAUGCGAAGUUGAAAUACAGUUACCGUAGGGGAACCUGCGGUGGGCUUAUAAAUAUC